rnacentral:rRNA from 1 species
ACUAAAUAGAUACCCAGGUAGUCCACGCCCUAAGCGAUGUCUACUAGUUGUUGGUGGAGUAAAAUCCAUGAGUAAACGCAGCUAACGCGUGAAGUAGACCGCCUGGGGAGUACGGUCGCAAGAUUAAAACUCAAAGGAAUUGACGGGGGCCGCACAAGCGGUGGAUUAUGUGGAUUAAUUCGAUGCAACGCGAAAACCUUACCUGGCCUUGACAUGCCACUAACGAAGCAGAGAUGCAUUAGGUGCCCGUAAGGGAAAGUGGACACAGGUGCUGCAUGGCUGUCGUCAGCUCGUGUCGUGAGAUGUUGGGUCAAGUCCCGCAACGAGCGCAACCCUUGCCAUUAAUUGCCAUCAUUUAGUUGGGCACUUUAAUGGGACUGCCGGUGACAAACCGGAGGAAGGUGGGGAUGACGUCAAGUCCUCAUGGCCCUUAUGGCCAGGGCUUCACACGUAAUACAAUGGUCGGUAUAGAGAGCUGCCAACCCGCGAGGGGGAGCUAAUCUCAGAAAGCCGAUCGUAGUCCGGAUUGUUC